rnacentral:rRNA from 1 species
CGGGGUGAGUAACACGUGGAUAACCUACCUAUAAGACUGGGAUAACUUCGGGAAACCGGAGCUAAUACCGGAUAAUAUAUUGAACCGCAUGGUUCAAUAGUGAAAGACGGUUUUGCUGUCACUUAUAGAUGGAUCCGCGCUGCAUUAGCUAGUUGGUAAGGUAACGGCUUACCAAGGCAACGAUGCGUAGCCGACCUGAGAGGGUGAUCGGCCACACUGGAACUGAGACACGGUCCAGACUCCUACGGGAGGCAGCAGCA